rnacentral:rRNA from 1 species
ACAGGUGAGUAACACGUAUCCAACCUGCCGUCUACUCUUGGACAGCCUUCUGAAAGGAAGAUUAAUACAAGAUGGCAUCAUGAGUUCACAUGUUCACAUGAUUAAAGGUAUUCCGGUAGACGAUGGGGAUGCGUUCCAUUAGAUAGUAGGCGGGGUAACGGCCCACCUAGUCUUCGAUGGAUAGGGGUUCUGAGAGGAAGGUCCCCCACAUUGGAACUGAGACACGGUCCAA